rnacentral:rRNA from 1 species
GACGAACGCUGGCGGCGUGCUUAACACAUGCAAGUCGAACGGCAAGGCCCUGCUUUUGUGGUGUGCUCGAGUGGCGAACGCGUGAGUAACACGUGAGUAACCUGCCCUUGACUUUGGUAUAACUUCAGGAAACUGGGGCUAAUACCGUAUAGGAGCUCCUGCUGCAUGGUGGGGGUUGGAAAGUUUCGGCGGUUGGGGAUGGACUCGCGGCUUAUCAGCUUGUUGGUGGGGUAGUGGCUUACCAAGGCUUUGACGGGUAGCCGGCCUGAGAGGGUGACCGGCGACAUUGGGACUGAGAUACGGCCCAGACUCCUACGGGAGGCAGCAGUGGGGAAUAUUGCACAAUGGGCGGAAGCCUGAUGCAGAAACGCCGCGGGCGGGAUGACGGCCUUCGGGUUGUAAACCGCUUUCGCCUGUGACGAAGCGUGAGUGACGGUAAUGGGUAAAGAAGCACCGGCUAACUACGUG